rnacentral:rRNA from 1 species
UACGGAGGGGACUAGCGUUGUUCGGAAUUACUGGGCGUAAAGCGCACGUAGGCGGAUUUGUUAGUCAGGGGUGAAAUCCCGAGGCUCAACCUCGGAACUGCCUUUGAUACUGCAAAUCUCGAGUCCGGAAGAGGUGAGUGGAAUUCCUAGUGUAGAGGUGAAAUUCGUAGAUAUUAGGAAGAACACCCGUGGCGAAGGCGGCUCUCUGGGACGGUACUGACGCUGAGACGCGAAAGCGUGGGGAGCGAACAGG